rnacentral:tRNA from 1 species
GCCCGAGUGGCGGAAUAGGCAGACGCAGCGGACUUAAAAUCCGCCGUCCUUGUGGACGUGCCAGUUCGAGUCUGGCCUCGGGCACCA